UACACUCCUGCGGGAGGCAGCAGUGGGGAAUUUUGGACAAUGGGCGAAAGCCUGAUCCAGCAAUGCCGCGUGAGUGAAGAAGGCCUUCGGGUUGUAAAGCUCUUUUGUCAGGGAAGAAACGGUGAGAGCUAAUAUCUUUUGCUAAUGACGGUACCUGAAGAAUAAGCACCGGCUAACUACGUGCCAGCAGCCGCGGUAAUACGUAGGGUGCAAGCGUUAAUCGGAAUUACUGGGCGUAAAGCGUGCGCAGGCGGUUUUGUAAGUCUGAUGUGAAAUCCCCGGGCUCAACCUGGGAAUUGCAUUGGAGACUGCAAGGCUAGAAUCUGGCAGAGGGGGGUAGAAUUCCACGUGUAGCAGUGAAAUGCGUAGAUAUGUGGAGGAACACCGAUGGCGAAGGCAGCCCCCUGGGUCAAGAUUGACGCUCAUGCACGAAAGCGUGGGGAGCAAACAGGAUUAGAAACCCCUGUAGCCCC
rnacentral:rRNA from 1 species